GCGGCGGUGCUAUACAUGCAAGUCGGACGAACUCUGGUAUUGAUUGGUGCUUGCAUCAUGAUUUACAUUUGAGUGAGUGGCGAACUGGUGAGUAACACGUGGGAAACCUGCCCAGAAGCGGGGGAUAACACCUGGAAACAGAUGCUAAUACCGCAUAACAACUUGGACCGCAUGGUCCGAGCUUGAAAGAUGGCUUCGGCUAUCACUUUUGGAUGGUCCCGCGGCGUAUUAGCUAGAUGGUGGGGUAACGGCUCACCAUGGCAAUGAUACGUAGCCGACCUGAGAGGGUAAUCGGCCACAUUGGGACUGAGACACGGCCCAAACUCCUACGGGAGGCAGCAGUAGGGAAUCUUCCACAAUGGACGAAAGUCUGAUGGAGCAACGCCGCGUGAGUGAAGAAGGGUUUCGGCUCGUAAAACUCUGUUGUUAAAGAAGAACAUAUCUGAGAGUAACUGUUCAGGUAUUGACGGUAUUUAACCAGAAAGCCACGGCUAACUACGUGCCAGCAGCCGCGGUAAUACGUAGGUGGCAAGCGUUGUCCGGAUUUAUUGGGCGUAAAGCGAGCGCAGGCGGUUUUUUAAGUCUGAUGUGAAAGCCUUCGGCUCAACCGAAGAAGUGCAUCGGAAACUGGGAAACUUGAGUGCAGAAGAGGACAGUGGAACUCCAUGUGUAGCGGUGAAAUGCGUAGAUAUAUGGAAGAACACCAGUGGCGAAGGCGGCUGUCUGGUCUGUAACUGACGCUGAGGCUCGAAAGUAUGGGUAGCAAACAGGAUUAGAUACCCUGGUAGUCCAUACCGUAAACGAUGAAUGCUAAGUGUUGGAGGGUUUCCGCCCUUCAGUGCUGCAGCUAACGCAUUAAGCAUUCCGCCUGGGGAGUACGGCCGCAAGGCUGAAACUCAAAGGAAUUGACGGGGGCCCGCACAAGCGGUGGAGCAUGUGGUUUAAUUCGAAGCUACGCGAAGAACCUUACCAGGUCUUGACAUACUAUGCAAAUCUAAGAGAUUAGACGUUCCCUUCGGGGACAUGGAUACAGGUGGUGCAUGGUUGUCGUCAGCUCGUGUCGUGAGAUGUUGGGUUAAGUCCCGCAACGAGCGCAACCCUUAUUAUCAGUUGCCAGCAUUAAGUUGGGCACUCUGGUGAGACUGCCGGUGACAAACCGGAGGAAGGUGGGGAUGACGUCAAAUCAUCAUGCCCCUUAUGACCUGGGCUACACACGUGCUACAAUGGAUGGUACAACGAGUUGCGAACUCGCGAGAGUAAGCUAAUCUCUUAAAGCCAUUCUCAGUUCGGAUUGUAGGCUGCAACUCGCCUACAUGAAGUCGGAAUCGCUAGUAAUCGCGGAUCAGCAUGCCGCGGUGAAUACGUUCCCGGGCCUUGUACACACCGCCCGUCACACCAUGAGAGUUUGUAACACCCAAAGUCGGUGGGGUAACCUUUUAGGAACCAGCCGCCUAAGGUGGGACAGAUGAUUAGGGUGAAGUCGUAACAAGAGUAGCAC
rnacentral:rRNA from 1 species